UGUCUGACACCUGUGUAUUGGAAGGUCGGAGAGGGCUGUUGUGGGUGCUGUGGUGUGCCUCGCCGCCUGAAGGGUCUGAAGGGCUACCCAGCUCCGGAGUUUUGGGGGUUCAGCUGAGGCCUCUGUGGUCACUGAAUUGCAGCUCCACAUUCCCCUCAGCCCUGGCUCCCCCAAGAGGCCUCCCUCCCAGAGUGCCCCACCAGUGACAGAAGUGACCCAUCCGAGGUCAUAAGUCAUUCUACUUUUGGAAACCUGUCCCAAGGAGACGUUCUCUCAUAUGAACAUUUCAGUUGCAGAGAUGAGUGUUUCUAGUAACAAAAAUUUGCAACAACUUUAAGAGCCAAUGAUGGGAGAUGGCUGCAUGGAUGAUGGCAUGCUCACAGGGAUUCUGUGUGUUUUAAGGUGUGUUUUACACCCCGGGAGGAUGGAAGUGCUGCCAGCCUGGAGGAGUGGGCCCUGGAGAGGGACUUCUCAGGUGGAUUUUGGUGCAGGUGGGGCUGGGGACCUCUGCCAGGGCUGCCUGCUCACCCAGAUCCCAGAGGGCCAGCUGGAGAUGCAGGUCUUCAGGCCUUGGUCAAGAUCUGGUGCAAACACA